GAUGAAGAACGUAGCGAAAUGCGAUAAGUAAUGUGAAUUGCAGAAUUCAGUGAAUCAUCGAAUCUUUGAACGCACAUUGCGCCCUCUGGUAUUCCGGGGGGCAUGCCUGUUCGAGCGUCAUUAUAACCACUCAAGCUCUCGCUUGGUAUUGGAGUUCGCGAUCUCGCGGCUCCUAAAAUCAGUGGCGGUGCCUGUCGGCUCUACGCGUAGUAAUACUCCUCGCGAUUGAGUCCGGUAGGUUUACCUGCCAGCAACCCCCAAUUUUUACAGGUUGACCUCGGAUCAGGUAGGGAUACCCGCUGAACUUAAGCAUAUCAAUAAGCGGAGGA
rnacentral:misc_RNA from 1 species